rnacentral:lncRNA from 1 species
GGGUAGGGUUAGGGUAGAAACAUUAGGACAUGGACUGACCAGGUGAAUCCAGGUGAGGGUUAGGGUGAGGGUGAGGGUUAGGGUGAGGGUUAGGGUGAGGGUUAGGGUGAGAAACAUUAGGACAUGGACUGACCAGGUGAAUCCAGGUGAGGGUUAGGGUGAGGGUGAGAAACAUUAGGACAUCGACUGACCAGGUGAAUCCAGGUGAAAGCUUUCAUCCCUUAUUGAUGUCACUUAUUAAAUCCACUUCGAUCAGUGUAGAUGAAGGGGAGGAGACAGGCUGAAGAAGGAUUAUUAAGAAUUGAGAGAAUUGAGACAUGGAUUGUGUAU